rnacentral:pre_miRNA from 1 species
CAGUGAUGAUGAUGAUGAUGAUGAUGAUGAUGAUGAUGAUGAUGAUGAGACGGCAAUGAUUGUGACAGUUUUAGUAACUACGAAAUCAUCAUAAUUCUCAUUCUCAUUAGCAUAAUCAUAAUCGUCAUCAUCAUCAUCGUCGUCGUCAUCAUCAUCAUCAUCA